GAAACGAAGAGGAGAAACUCCUCGGCGAUCCCGCGCACCGCCGAGCCCUCGACACGCAGCCAGCUGCUCGGCGGACGGGGAACUGCAACUCUCACACCAUCGCGGCUCCCCAGGGUCCCUGCAACCGGCGGUGCCGGACAGCCCGGUCAGCUGCCACAGCGCAGGGUCCGAUGUGAACAAGGGCGGUUUGCUCAGCCCUAAAAGCGACGGGGGAGCUCGCCGAGGCCGCGAUCCUCUGCCCCGGGGGGGUCAGCCAGGUCGCCACCAACUGGGCUGGGUGCGCGGCACCGGCCGGGCAGAGGCACGGCGGAGCCCGCGAUGCGCCGGGGGAAGGAGAAGUUUUAGCGAGCCCUCCUGGGC